AUCUCUCUGUUUACUUAAACAUUUUCACGUUUCCUUUGUUUUCUUUUUCGAUUUCAUUGUUUUCGUUUUCGAUUUGAGAAAACUUAAAAGCUCAGCCGCUGCUGCUGAGCCUCAACAACGACGCACCGUUGCUAGCGUCUACUACUUCAUUUUUCAUUUCAAGGAAAAUAUCUCAACAGCAGCAGGGGCAGCCAGCAGCAUGGGGAAUUGCUGCUCCGACACUGGCGGCGGCAUGGCAGCCGUCGGAGGUACGGCUGG
rnacentral:lncRNA from 1 species